rnacentral:rRNA from 1 species
GAUGAACGCUGGCGGCGUGCCUAAUACAUGCAAGUCGAGCGAACCACUUCGGUGGUGAGCGGCGAACGGGUGAGUAACACGUAGGUGAUCUGCCCAUCAGACGGGGACAACGAUUGGAAACGAUCGCUAAUACCGGAUAGGACGAAAGUUUAAAGGUGCUUCUGGCACCGCUGAUGGAUGAGCCUGCGGCGCAUUAGCUAGUUGGUAGGGUAAAGGCCUACCAAGGCGACGAUGCGUAGCCGACCUGAGAGGGUGAACGGCCACACUGGGACUGAGACACGGCCCAGACUCCUACGGGAGGCAGCAGUGGGGAAUAUUGGACAAUGGGGGCAACCCUGAUCCAGCAAUGCCGCGUGUGUGAAGAAGGCCUGAGGGUUGUAAAGCACUUUCGGUGGGGAGGAGGAUUAAUAGGUUAAGAGCUAAUUAAUUGGACGUUACCCGCAUAAGAAGCACCGGCUAACUCCGUGCCAGCCGUCGCCGUAA